rnacentral:rRNA from 1 species
CCGCCACACUGGGACUGAGACACGGCCCAGACUCCUACGGGAGGCAGCAGUGGGGAAUAUUGGACAAUGGGCGCAAGCCUGAUCCAGCCAUGCCGCGUGUGUGAAGAAGGCCUUAUGGUUGUAAAGCACUUUAAGCGAGGAGGAGGCUACUGAAGUUAAUACCUUCAGAUAGUGGACGUUACUCGCAGAAUAAGCACCGGCUAACUCUGUGCCAGCAGCCGCGGUAAUACAGAGGGUGCAAGCGUUAAUCGGAUUUACUGGGCGUAAAGCGCGCGUAGGCGGCUAAUUAAGUCAAAUGUGAAAUCCCCGAGCUUAACUUGGGAAUUGCAUUCGAUACUGGUUAGCUAGAGUGUGGGAGAGGAUGGUAGAAUUCCAGGUGUAGCGGUGAAAUGCGUAGAGAUCUGGAGGAAUACCGAUGGCGAAGGCAGCCAUCUGGCCUAACACUGACGCUGAGGUGCGAAAGCAUGGGGAGCAAACAGGAUUAGAUACCCUGGUAGUCCAUGCCGUAAACGAUGUCUACUAGCCGUUGGGGCCUUUGAGGCUUUAGUGGCGCAGCUAACGCGAUAAGUAGACCGCCUGGGGAGUACGGUCGCAAGACUAAAACUCAA